AGAGUUUGAUCAUGGCUCAGAUUGAACGCUGGCGGUAUGCUUAACACAUGCAAGUCGAACGGAAACGAUACUAGCUUGCUAGUAGGCGUCGAGUGGCGGACGGGUGAGUAACGCGUAGGAAUCUGCCUGAUAGUGGGGGAUAGCCCGAAGAAAUUCGGAUUAAUACCGCAUAAUCUAUUCGUAGUAAAGUGGGGGACUUUCGAGCCUCACGCUAUCAGAUGAGCCUGCGUAAGAUUAGCUUGUUGGUGGGGUAAAAGCCCACCAAGGCGACGAUCUUUAGCUGGUCUGAGAGGAUGAUCAGCCACAUCGGGACUGAGACACGGCCCGAACUCCUACGGNANNCANCAGUGGGGAAUAUUGGACAANGUGAAGAGAAGUUAGCGGUUAAU
rnacentral:rRNA from 1 species